rnacentral:lncRNA from 1 species
UCUAUUGGGAUUUAAUAAUUUGUCUAACGACGGGUUGCGAAGGUAAAUAGGUUGUUACAAACAACCAUAUAACCCAUGCCAAUGCAAAUCACCAUGGGAGGUUCUUUGGAUCAUGGUAGUCGAUCCGUUAAUUUUUUUCGGCUAUCAUAAUUCUAAGUUCUCUCAUUUGUCCGUCGUUUAUGUAUUUUGAGCCUUUUGUUGGGUUCUUUGAGGAGACUACUUCAUCAAAAUAGUCAACCUCUUAAAAGAAGUGAUUUUCACUUUGGUUAUGUCUCCAUCCUCAUCUCAUAAGCUCUUGCAAAAGAUUCAAAUCAUAAUAGACAUUUCAUCCCAAUAGUCAACCCCCUAAAAGGAGUGAUUUUUACUUUAGUAGUGUCACAUCCUCAUCUCAUAAGCUAUAGCUUAAUUUUUUUAAAAAAAAUUCAAAUCUUGAUAGACUGUGGUGAUCUAUUCUUGAAAAGAUACUCAACUUCAUGAAAUGAAAGAAAUCGUCACAAUUAAUUUAUGUCAUUUGUACAAUUAAUUUAUGUCAUUUGUACCUUUUAGAAGUAGU